CUCUCCAUUUUCCUUUGAAAUGGAGAGGGUCCAGUUAAUGGACAGGAUUAAUUUGAAAUACAUCUAGGGUCUAAGUUGUGCCACGUCAAUUAAAAUGUUAAAAACUUAACUCUGGAAAGCUCAACUGUGGUUAACAAAAGGGUUAACUCAGCAAACCCACCUUAUUCUUAUCUGAGAUUCAAAUAUGUCAAAAUCACUCUUUUGCUCUCUCUCAAUUUCUCUUCUCCAUCGCCGUCUCGCUCAACCUUGCCGUCGCCGCUGCCACAAUCACCAACGUCUGCCAAGCCACCGUUGUUUCUUCGACCACGUCUCACACCAGCCUAACAUCACCGAAUCCACUGCUCGAAAAUGAGUUGAAGCAGCUAGCAGCCAUCUAUUAAAAAGUCUGAAGAGAAGGGUAUCUGUACAAAAGUCUGUAGAGAAGGUUAUAGUUGUUCAAGAAGUCAAGCGCAAGAUAUAUGCAAAGCUUCAUGUACCAAAUUUUACACACUUGUUAUCAAGAAAAGGCUUUGAAGUAUUCCAUGACCAAUUGAAGACAACGUAUUUUGAAGCUAGCAAGGCUAAUUUUCAGUUUUAGUAAAGAUUUAGAUUUGAUGUAUUCGCUUGUAGGACAACUUGAGCAAUUGCUUCAAAUUGAUCAAUUUUGAUGUCGCAUGAAAUUUGAUCCAACAGAGUAGACAAGAAAGGAAUAUAAUAAAAAAUGAACAAAUUUUAUUAGUCCUUAGAAUAUUUCCAUAUACCGUGUGAAUAUAUACUCUGAUGUAAUUUCCUUUGGUUUGGGCAAAAAGCAAUUAGAAUUUCUUUA